CAGUCGCCGCGGUAAUACGUAGGGUGCGAGCGUUAAUCGGAAUUACUGGGCGUAAAGCGUGCGCAGGCGGUUGUGUAAGACAGGUGUGAAAUCCCCGGGCUUAACCUGGGAACUGCGCUUGUGACUGCACAGCUAGAGUAUGGCAGAGGGGGGUGGAAUUCCACGUGUAGCAGUGAAAUGCGUAGAGAUGUGGAGGAACACCGAUGGCGAAGGCAGCCCCCUGGGCCAAUACUGACGCUCAUGCACGAAAGCGUGGGGAGCAAACAGGAUUAGAUACCCGGGUAGUCCCUGUCUCUUAUAC
rnacentral:rRNA from 1 species